UAACUCUGGCUUCUCUUCAGAUCGUAUAAAUAUUUCGCCUUUUACUAAAGAUUUCCGUGGAAAGGACCAAGUCAUAAGAAAUUUUUCGUGGCGUCAUUACGGUGGAGCU